rnacentral:RNase_P_RNA from 1 species
AUUGAACAGUCGCGUGUGAAACUCGCAAGGGUUCAUAUGAGGAAAGUCCGGGCUCCAUAGAGCAAUGAUGCUGGAUAACGUCCAGUGAGGGAGACCUUAAGGAAAGUGCAACAGAAAAUAACCGCCUGUAUAGGUAAGGGUGAAAAGGUGAGGUAAGAGCUUACCGCUGGUAUGGUGACAUACUGGGUCCAUGUAAACCCCAUCUGGAGCAACACCUAAAAAUAAGAAGGUUAAGGCUGCUCGCCGUCUUCUUGAGUUGGUGGCUUGAAACAUAUAGCAAUAUAUGUUCUAGAUAGAUGACUGUUUUUAACAGAACCCGGCUUACAGAUAUGCUU